rnacentral:rRNA from 1 species
UGGGGAAUUUUGGACAAUGGGCGAAAGCCUGAUCCAGCAAUGCCGCGUGUGUGAAGAAGGCCUUCGGGUUGUAAAGCACUUUUGUCCGGAAAGAAAUCCUUGGCUCUAAUACAGUCGGGGGAUGACGGUACCGGAAGAAUAAGCACCGGCUAACUACGUGCCAGCAGCCGCGGUAAUACGUAGGGUGCAAGCGUUAAUCGGAAUUACUGGGCGUAAAGCGUGCGCAGGCGGUUUGCUAAGACCGAUGUGAAAUCCCCGGGCUCAACCUGGGAACUGCAUUGGUGACUGGCAGGGCUAGAGUAUGGCAGAGGGGGGUAGAAUUCCACGUGUAGCAGUGAAAUGCGUAGAGAUGUGGAGGAAUACCGAUGGCGAAGGCAGCCCCCCUGGGCCAAUACUGACGCUCAUGCACGAAAGGCGUGGGGGAGCAAACAGGAUUUAGAUACCCCUGGUAGUCCACGCCCUAAACGAUGUCAACUAGUUGUUGGGGAUUCAUUUUCCUUAGUAACGUAGCUAACGCGUGAAGUUGACCGCCUGGGGAGUACGGUCGCAAGAUUAAAACUCAAAGGAAUUGACGGGGUCAUAGCUGUUU